CAACUUUCAGCAGUGGAUGUCUAGGCUCGCACAUCGAUGAAGAACGCUGCGAACUGCGAUACGUAAUGCGAAUUGCAGGAUUCAGUGAGUCAUCGAACUUUUGAACGCAUAUUGCACUUUCGGGUUACCCCUGGAAGUAUGUCUGUAUCAGUGUCCGUA
rnacentral:rRNA from 1 species